ACUUCCGUGGCCGAGUGGGUAAGGCACUAGGCUUGCAAACCGAAGGUCCCGGGUUCGAUUUCCGCUGGAGUC
rfam:Asian citrus Psyllid, Diaphorina citri - Florida Strain, whole genome shotgun sequence.